rnacentral:rRNA from 1 species
UACGGAGGAUCCGAGCGUUAUCCGGAUUUAUUGGGUUUAAAGGGUGCGUAGGCGGCCUAUUAAGUCAGGGGUGAAAGACGGUAGCUUAACUAUCGCAGUGCCUUUGAUACUGAUAGGCUUGAAUGUACUUGAGGUAGGCGGAAUGUGACAAGUAGCGGUGAAAUGCAUAGAUAUGUCACAGAACACCAAUUGCGAAGGCAGCUUACUAAAGUGUGAUUGACGCUGAGGCACGAAAGCGUGGGGAUCAAACAGG